UACGAAAGGUGGUCUUAAUGCAUCAAUCAAACUAGAAAAUAACUAAAAACAAGAAAGAAACAUGAACAUAAAAAUGCAAGAAAAAUAAAGAAAAAUGCAAGAAAAUAAAACUUAAACCAAACAUUGUUCUCAAUGUUUAAGCUCAAGAAAGAGUGACUAGAACUCACAAGAACCUCAAUCCGGAGGCGGGAUCUACAACAUAAGUUAUUACAUCAUAGCUUGGACGUCUUCCAAGACCACUCCUUGCCAAUU
rnacentral:lncRNA from 1 species